CUACACAAUAUUCACACUAGCCACAAAAUAAAAACUGUCGUCUGAGUUAAAAACAGAUCACGGAUGCUUUGUAAAGAGCGUUGUGUGAGUAAAACUCACACAACGGGUAUAAAAUAAAGUGACCUCUGAAUUGCCUUCACACGACAGUUUCUAAAGUCGCCCGUCGUCUGAAGAAUAGUCACGCAACAGCUAAUGCUGUCGACAGGCUGCCGACAUGCUGCGCGCCAUGCUGCCGAGCCCUUCACACGACGGUUCCCUACAAUCGAUCUUCAUCAGAUGGCGCCUCGAUAGACGACGCUUUGCCUCUAUAUCAGACGACGGUUUUUAGCCGUCGUCUGAUUCAAUUUUUGUAGUAGUGCGCG
rnacentral:lncRNA from 1 species